UGACCGGUGUCUUUUUUGCAGAAACGAGCUUGGUUCUUUUGUAGUGACGAACCCAUUAAGUCUUAAAUAAACGUAUCGCCCAGCGUCUCAAAAGCAACAAUCAUAUGCCCAAGUGUGCGGGUGUCUUUCGGCAGGUUUGAUAUUGAACCCCGCGUUGUGGAUGCGUUUUAAAACCCGAAUGUCCGCCCAAAAUAAACGGACAGCACUCGUUUCAGGAAUCCCAUUCACUUGAAGCCAAACCGUCGUCCCUUCAACAAAGAGAAGCCAAACAUGGAUUUGCUUAUGAGUUCCAGUCCGUUUUGGUCACCCGAAGACCAUGGCUUGCUUUGUUUUGGGUUCAUUGGCUACAUCUUUUCCUACGUGUACUACGUCAACUGGAUCGCCAAAGUGAGCACGGUCAGUCCCAAUUGCUUCGUGGAAAACUUCGAUCCCCAUAAUAUCUCAAUGGACAAACCGGAUAUUGUAAUAGCUUGAUGGAGCGAUUUCAAGACGCUCGAAACACUUUACUGCAAUAUUUGUGUCUGUGAUAUCCGGAAGUUUCGACAAAAUAUAAAUAUAACCUACCGUAACGUCA